UAGAGUAAAGGGCAAACCGGUCGAAAGGUCGGGACGCAAAGCCACCGGUCUAAGGGUUCAUAACCUAAGACAGCGGAGCUGCCAUC
rfam:Aeromonas hydrophila subsp. hydrophila ATCC 7966, complete genome.